rnacentral:rRNA from 1 species
CACGUAGGGGGCAAGCGUUGUCCGGAUUCAUUGGGCGUAAAGAGCUCGUAGGCGGUUCGAUAAGUCGGGUGUGAAACCUCCAGGCUCAACCUGGAGACGCCACCCGAUACUGUCGUGACUAGAGUCCAGUAGGGGAGCGUGGAAUUCCUGGUGUAGCGGUGAAAUGCGCAGAUAUCAGGAGGAACACCAGCGGCGAAGGCGGCGCUCUGGGCUGGAACUGACGCUGAGGCGCGAAAGCGUGGGGAGCGAACGGG